GUUUCCGAUGGUGAACCUGCGGAAGGAUCAUUGCACACACAAAUUCGAGCCAACCCGCGGCGAACGAACACAUUGUCCCCCUCGGCGGGUCGUGGCGCCUCGCGGCGUCGCGGCCGGCCACCUCCCUUCGUCGCGUCCCGCGCGGCGAGGGGGAUUCCACGAUGCCUUCACCGAAUGACUGAGUCCCUUCGACUUGACCCUGGAGUGAGUUCCGUCCCCUUGGCUCCGCAGGGCUUGCCUUGCGCGUCGCGAAGGGGGUCGGCGCUGGUUACCUUGCGAGUUGAAACUUAGAACCGAGAACAACUCUCAGCAACGGAUAUCUUGGCUCUUGCAACGAUGAAGAACGCAGCGAAAUGCGAUACGUAGUGUGAAUUGCAGAAUUCCGCGAAUCAUCGAGUCUUUGAACGCAAGUUGCGCCCGAGGCUUGUCCAAGGGCAUUUCCGCUAGAGCGUCACCGCGCCCCCCACCGAUCCACUCCCCCCGUGGGAGUUCGAGUGGACUUGGCCGUCCCGGCGGCCUGCGAAGGCGGGCUUAAAGGGUCGGCUGAAAUGGAUGGAAUUGGGCCGCCGUGGUGACACAGUCCGCGAUCGGGUGAUCCGAGCUCCUCCGUGAGCCCGGAAUUUUUCUAAGUGCGUGGCUGCGUCCCCCAGUUGGCUUUGGUUACCUCAUGCAGGUCGAGCGCGCCCCCGCGGCGCGCGUCACGCAUCAAACCUCUAAUCGGAAAAGACUACCCGCUGAG
rnacentral:rRNA from 1 species